ACUCAUACUCUGGGAAAAACAACGCCCAAAGAGCUUUUUAUUUAUGUGGGAUAUUAAAUAUUGAUAUUUACUUUAUUAGAAAUGAAAAUCUGUAAGAUGCAAGUAUACAAACAUUCAAAGGAAAAGUCUGACUGAUUCUCAUGCUCCAGGCCUCAGUUCAGAUAUCACCUGCUUAGAGAAGACGCUCCUGAUCCAUCCAUUCCUACCUGCCUCACCCAGCUGAUCAGAACCUGAACCCUGAACUGGGACCCUGAACCACACGGGACGUGAAAAGGGACCCCACAUCUGGCGCCCACGUGGGACUUCUGGAGGAAAUGAUAUUUUUCGCCUAGAGCGAAAGAAGGAAAAAAUACACCAAGUAAAGGUGUGAAAAAUUCACCAAAAAAAGAAAACAACUCCAAGACCAUGUGGAUUCCUGCAACAGAGAGGAAUUGACAGGUCUGCUCCAACUAUGAAGAGGAGAAACAGUCCAGAGAUGGAAGAUGCUGACGAUUCCUUGCCAUACUAGCUGUCAGCAGCUGUGCGUCACUGCAGGUUGCCUAGGACCAAACCAGAGAGGGUCGGACCUGCAUUGCCACCAUUUGUCCACCAUCCAGAUACCAUUACUGAUGUAUACUCAAAAAACUGUUGGACAUUGAAAGUGGGAUUCAAAAACUGUUGGCCCAGAAAGAAACUUACUGCAGACUGAUUCAUUUGACUCAGCAUAGCCAUUGUUGCUUGUGUCAUUUUUUAUUCUUAUAUGUUUAUUUCUCAUCUGCAGAUGCAAGAUUUUUUAAGGGAAAGAAAACGGGGGAGAUGCCGGAAACCAAUCACUGUUUCACUAAUAGAGAGAUGUAGACAGGAAGCCUGGAAGGCUGGUCAACAACCUUAAUUGCUCUAACCACUCACUGUUUAGUUGAGACAUUGUUAGCAGCCUCCACCUGUUUGUCUUAUGUAUAUUUCUGUUAUUUCCUACCUAAGGGCUGUGUGUGUUUUCCCCAUAGCCUCAAUAAAAGGGAUAGCAGGGCCAGAGCAGUGUGUAGUCCUCCCACUAGAGUUGGACUCCUGCCUGGCCCCCAAUAUCGCCAAAUUAA